AUAUCACGUUGAAACACCGAUUCUCGGCCAGUCACCGAAGUUAAGCAACAUUAAACCUGGUCAGUACCUAGAUGGGUGACCACUUGGGAAUACCAUGUACUGUAAG